rnacentral:rRNA from 1 species
UUAAGUUAUUAAGGGCGCACGGUGGAUGCCUUGGCACUAGAAGCCGAUGAAGGACGUUACUAACGACGAUAUGCUUUGGGGAGCUGUAAGUAAGCUUUGAUCCAGAGAUUUCCGAAUGGGGAAACCCAGCAUGAGUUAUGUCAUGUUAUCGAUAUGUGAAUACAUAGCAUAUCAGAAGGCACACCCGGAGAACUGAAACAUCUUAGUACCCGGAGGAAGAGAAAGAAAAUUCGAUUCCCUUAGUAGCGGCGAGCGAAACGGGAAGAGCCCAAACCAACAAGCUUGCUUGUUGGGGUUGUAGGACACUCUAUACGGAGUUACAAAGGACGACAUUAGACGAAUCAUCUGGAAAGAUGAAUCAAAGAAGGUAAUAAUCCUGUAGUCGAAAAUGUUGUCUCUCUUGAGUGGAUCCUGAGUACGACGGAGCACGUGAAAUUCCGUCGGAAUCUGGGAGGACCAUCUCCUAAGGCUAAAUACUCUCUAGUGACCGAUAGUGAACCAGUACCGUGAGGGAAAGGUGAAAAGCACCCCGGAAGGGGAGUGAAAUAGAACCUGAAACCGUGUGCUUAUAAGUAGUCAGAGCCCGUUAAUGGGUGAUGGCGUGCCUUUUGUAGAAUGAACCGGCGAGUUACGAUUUGAUGCAAGGUUAAGCAGUAAAUGUGGAGCCGUAGCGAAAGCGAGUCUGAAUAGGGCGUUUAGUAUUUGGUCGUAGACCCGAAACCAGGUGAUCUACCCUUGGUCAGGUUGAAGUUCAGGUAACACUGAAUGGAGGACCGAACCGACUUACGUUGAAAAGUGAGCGGAUGAACUGAGGGUAGCGGAGAAAUUCCAAUCGAACCUGGAGAUAGCUGGUUCUCUCCGAAAUAGCUUUAGGGCUAGCCUCAAGUGAUGAUUAUUGGAGGUAGAGCACUGUUUGGACGAGGGGCCCCUCUCGGGUUACCGAAUUCAGACAAACUCCGAAUGCCAAUUAAUUUAACUUGGGAGUCAGAACAUGGGUGAUAAGGUCCGUGUUCGAAAGGGAAACAGCCCAGACCACCAGCUAAGGUCCCAAAAUAUAUGUUAAGUGGAAAAGGAUGUGGCGUUGCCCAGACAACUAGGAUGUUGGCUUAGAAGCAGCCAUCAUUUAAAGAGUGCGUAAUAGCUCACUAGUCGAGUGACACUGCGCCGAAAAUGUACCGGGGCUAAACAUAUUACCGAAGCUGUGGAUUGUCCUUUGGACAAUGGUAGGAGAGCGUUCUAAGGGCGUUGAAGCAUGAUCGUAAGGACAUGUGGAGCGCUUAGAAGUGAGAAUGCCGGUGUGAGUAGCGAAAGACGGGUGAGAAUCCCGUCCACCGAUUGACUAAGGUUUCCAGAGGAAGGCUCGUCCGCUCUGGGUUAGUCGGGUCCUAAGCUGAGGCCGACAGGCGUAGGCGAUGGAUAACAGGUUGAUAUUCCUGUACCACCUAUAAUCGUUUUAAUCGAUGGGGGGACGCAGUAGGAUAGGCGAAGCGUGCGAUUGGAUUGCACGUCUAAGCAGUAAGGCUGAGUAUUAGGCAAAUCCGGUACUCGUUAAGGCUGAGCUGUGAUGGGGAGAAGACAUUGUGUCUUCGAGUCGUUGAUUUCACACUGCCGAGAAAAGCCUCUAGAUAGAAAAUAGGUGCCCGUACCGCAAACCGACACAGGUAGUCAAGAUGAGAAUUCUAAGGUGAGCGAGCGAACUCUCGUUAAGGAACUCGGCAAAAUGACCCCGUAACUUCGGGAGAAGGGGUGCUCUUUAGGGUUAACGCCCAGAAGAGCCGCAGUGAAUAGGCCCAAGCGACUGUUUAUCAAAAACACAGGUCUCUGCUAAACCGUAAGGUGAUGUAUAGGGGCUGACGCCUGCCCGGUGCUGGAAGGUUAAGAGGAGUGGUUAGCUUCUGCGAAGCUACGAAUCGAAGCCCCAGUAAACGGCGGCCGUAACUAUAACGGUCCUAAGGUAGCGAAAUUCCUUGUCGGGUAAGUUCCGACCCGCACGAAAGGCGUAACGAUUUGGGCACUGUCUCAACGAGAGACUCGGUGAAAUCAUAGUACCUGUGAAGAUGCAGGUUACCCGCGACAGGACGGAAAGACCCCGUGGAGCUUUACUGUAGCCUGAUAUUGAAAUUCGGCACAGCUUGUACAGGAUAGGUAGGAGCCUUUGAAACGUGAGCGCUAGCUUACGUGGAGGCGCUGGUGGGAUACUACCCUAGCUGUGUUGGCUUUCUAACCCGCACCACUUAUCGUGGUGGGAGACAGUGUCAGGCGGGCAGUUUGACUGGGGCGGUCGCCUCCUAAAAGGUAACGGAGGCGCUCAAAGGUUCCCUCAGAAUGGUUGGAAAUCAUUCAUAGAGUGUAAAGGCAUAAGGGAGCUUGACUGCGAGACCUACAAGUCGAGCAGGGUCGAAAGACGGACUUAGUGAUCCGGUGGUUCCGCAUGGAAGGGCCAUCGCUCAACGGAUAAAAGCUACCCCGGGGAUAACAGGCUUAUCUCCCCCAAGAGUUCACAUCGACGGGGAGGUUUGGCACCUCGAUGUCGGCUCAUCGCAUCCUGGGGCUGUAGUCGGUCCCAAGGGUUGGGCUGUUCGCCCAUUAAAGCGGUACGCGAGCUGGGUUCAGAACGUCGUGAGACAGUUCGGUCCCUAUCCGUCGUGGGCGUAGGAAAUUUGAGAGGAGCUGUCCUUAGUACGAGAGGACCGGGAUGGACAUACCUCUGGUGUACCAGUUGUCGUGCCAACGGCAUAGCUGGGUAGCUAUGUGUGGACGGGAUAAGUGCUGAAAGCAUCUAAGCAUGAAGCCCCCCUCAAGAUGAGAUUUCCCAACUUCGGUUAUAAGAUCCCUCAAAGAUGAUGAGGUUAAUAGGUUCGAGGUGGAAGCAUGGUGACAUGUGGAGCUGACGAAUACUAAUCGAUCGAAGACUUAAUCAA